rnacentral:rRNA from 1 species
CCUACGGGGGGCAGCAGUGGGGAAUAUUGGGCAAUGGGCGCAAGCCUGACCCAGCAACGCCGCGUGAAGGAAGAAGGCUCUCGGGUUGUAAACUUCUUUUAUCAGGGACGAAGCAAGUGACGGUACCUGAUGAAUAAGCCACGGCUAACUACGUGCCAGCAGCCGCGGUAAUACGUAGGUGGCAAGCGUUAUCCGGAUUUACUGGGUGUAAAGAGCGUGUAGGCGGGAAAGCAAGUCAGAUGUGAAAACCAUGGGCUCAACCUGUGGCCUGCAUUUGAAACUGUUUUUCUUGAGUACUGGAGAGGCAGACGGAAUUCCUAGUGUAGCGGUGAAAUGCGUAGAUAUUAGGAGGAACACCAGUGGCGAAGGCGGUCUGCUGGACAGCAACUGACGCUGAGGCGCGAAAGCGUGGGGAGCAAACAAGAUUAGAUACCCCUGUAGUC